rnacentral:misc_RNA from 1 species
UGGUUCUGGCAUCGAUGAAGAACGCAGCGAAAUGCGAUAAGUAAUGCGAAUUGCAGAAUUCAGUGAGUCAUCGAAUCUUUGAACGCAUAUUGCGCCCUUUGGUAUUCCGAAGGGCAUGCCUGUUCGAGCGUCAUUAUCAACUAUCAAGCUUGGCUUGUUGUUGGACCUUUGGUUAUAAAACCCGGUCUAAAAGACAGCGGAUAGGAUCUGGUAGGCCUUGAUAUAACAAGCUGUUUAUAGCACAUAUCUAUAGGCCAGCAGCCCUAUCUUUCACCCCCCCAAUUUUCUGAAGUUGACCUCGGAUCAGGUAGGAAUACCCGCUGA